UUGCAGAUUGCAACACGUAGCAUGCCAGGAGACUUAAGUCAGUGGGUUAUGAAGCAUUACGACCCUGAAAUUUCCCAACUUGUCAUCCCAGAGAGGGGCAAGAUUCCAGUAGAUGCAGCAAGUGUUCACAAAAUAUGGGGUAUGCCAAAAAGGGGGAGGAAGGUUUGCUACGAGAAUAGAGUAGAUUACACAUCCAAAAUGUACAAAAUCUUCAAGAUCAAAACGAAAGGCUCACCAACACUAACAUCUUCGUGCAAAAUGAUCAAGGAUAUCGCUGGGGCAGCAGAUAACAAUUUCCUGCGUGCUUGGUUGGCGGACGCCUUCUCCUGUUUCCUUGCUCCUACCACAAGUUUGAACAUAUCCCCAUGGUGUUUUCCUGUUGUGAUGCAUGUGGAUGCGAUAAUAGAGACGAGUGUAUGCCAGUUUGUAGUUGAUUAA
rnacentral:rRNA from 1 species